GGUUUGGUCCUGGCUCAGAUUGAACGCUGGCGGAUGCUUUACACAUGCAAGUUUAAACGGCAGCACGGACUUCGGUCUGGUGGCGAGUGGCGAACGGGUGAGUAAUGUAUCGGAACGUGCUCAUAGCGGGGAUAACUACGCGAAAGCGUAGCUACCGCAUACGCCCUUCGGGGGAAAGCGGGGACCUUCGGGCCUCGCAACACUGCACGACGAUCAUCAGCUGCGUGGCAACGGCUCACCAACGCGACGAUCCGUAGCUGGUUUGAGAGCACGACCAGCCACACUGGGAUCGACAUUACCAGUCCAGACUCCUACGGGAGGCAGCAGUGGGGAAUUUUGGAUAAUGGGGGAAACCCUGAUCCAUCAGCCACCGGCAAACGCCAAAGGCCUUCGGGUUGUAAAACAUAACUCUCCAGGAAAGAAACGGUGAUUGGAUAAUACCCCGUGCAACUGACGGUACCUGCAGAAUAAGCACCGGCUAACUACGUGCCAGCAGCCGCGGUAAUACGUAGGAUGCAAGCGCUAACUGGAACAUCACCCAUGAAGCGUGCGCAGGCGGUUCGGAAAGAAAGAUGUGAAAUCCUGAGUCUCAUCCUUGGAACCGCAUUUUUAACUACCGAGCUAGAGUGUGUCAGAGGGAGGUGGAAUUCCGCGUGUAGCAGUGAAAGUCGCGUAGAUAUGCGGAGGAACACCGAUGGCGAAGUCACUCUCCGGCAGAUAACACUGACGCUCACGCACGAAAACAUGGGAGCAAAACAGGAUUAGAUAAAUUCUGCAAUCCACGCCCUAAACGAUGUCAACUAGCUGCUGAUUUCGGGCUCCGGUAGCGCAGCUAACGCGUGAAGUUGACCGCCUGGGGAGUACGGUCGCAAGAUUAAAACUCAAAGGAAUUGACGGGCAGUCCCACAAGCGGUGGAUGUGAUGUGGAUUAAUUCGAUCAGCGAAAACCUUACCUACCCUGACAUGUCUGGAAUCCCGAAGAGGAUUUGGGAGUGUCUCGCAAGAGAACCGAACACAGGUGCUGGGCGCUCGUCGUCACCCGGAAUGGAGAUGUUAAGCAAGUCCGCAACGAGGCAACCUUGUCAUUAGUUGCUGAAAGGAACACCCUCGAACUGAGACUGCCGGUGACAACCGAGGUAUGUCAACAUCAAGUCCUCGUCACCCGCGAGCGGUGAAAUGCCACAUCGCCACGGCGGCACGCUGACAGAGGGUCGCCAACCCGCGAGGGGAGCCAAUCCCAGAAACCGAUCGUAGUCCGCAGUUCGCAACUCGACUGGUGUACAGUUUGUCCAAACUCAGUAAUCGCGGAUCAGCACGUCGCGGUGAACAUUGUUCCGGGUCUUGUACACCGCCCGUCACACCGGCGCCAGUUUUACCAGAAGUAGUUACCUAACCGUAAGGAGGCUUAUAAUACCACGGUAGGAUUCAUGACUGGGGUGAAGUCGGAAUAGCGUAACCUGUUACUGUCUGGAUGCCCUGUG
rnacentral:rRNA from 1 species